rnacentral:misc_RNA from 1 species
UGGGGGCACAAAAUUUUGUUUCAAAGUGCUGAGGAGAAUGUUGAGAUUAUCAAUUAUGUUCUGCCAAUGACUUGCAGGAGAAUCUUUACCAAAGGAACGCCCAGAUCUUAGUACACCUCCCUUAGAUGUUCUAGGUGCCUGGAUGCAUAAUGAAAGCAAAGACGAUAAUUCCUUCUUCAAGUUGUCUCGAAUAAUUCCAUAAAUUUUCUCCACAAAUGCUGCUAGCUGUUGCUUAAAAAGCAAGGCUGGGUAUUUAGCCUCUACUUGGCGCACUACUGAUAGUGCAGCAGCCGCAGCAAGGUUGGAAGAGGAGGGUGAAGAACGAAAACCCAUGGUCAUCCUCCCAAACAAGGAUGCUGCUGAGGAUGGCUUCUUAUUUGGAGUUGUACCACUAGCACCAGCUGCCUUCAAACUUCGUUGCAGCAAAAACAAUAAAGUAGAUGUAUUUGAUAACCAGUAGGACAUAUGAUCAUUGUUAUCUUCAUUCUCAAUUGCAGAACCAAUCAUUUGAAUUAGACGAUCAAACACACUAGUCCUUUCUGCUUCAAAGGAUUUCCAGUGGAGAAGACAUUUGUAUAUG